UACGAAGGGGGCUAGCGUUGCUCGGAAUCACUGGGCGUAAAGGGUGCGUAGGCGGGUCUUUAAGUCAGGGGUGAAAUCCUGGAGCUCAACUCCAGAACUGCCUUUGAUACUGAGGAUCUUGAGUCCGGGAGAGGUGAGUGGAACUGCGAGUGUAGAGGUGAAAUUCGUAGAUAUUCGCAAGAACACCAGUGGCGAAGGCGGCUCACUGGCCCGGUACUGACGCUGAGGCACGAAGCGUGGGGAGCAAACAGG
rnacentral:rRNA from 1 species